UAAGAGCAUCAGGAGUGGGACUUGUUCCCCGCCAACCUGCUUACCGAAGCAAGGUGGUUAGAGUAUGUGGCCUAAACGGCAACCAAAUCGGACUCU
rnacentral:ncRNA from 1 species